GCAUAACUUAUGCAGUCUUGCACCAUGCUCAUGCAGCUUCGCACAGAGAGCCAAAAACCUAUGUAGUCCCAUAAAGACUUCAUAAUGAGCUGGCAGAAGGUUCCCUCAGAAAAACACAUCUCAAAUACACCAUUUUGGGACUCCUUGUCAGAGAAAAAGAUAUAAAUAGGCGCUUAUCCCAUUUUAGAGAAGGGGAGGAAAGAGGAAAAGAAAAGGAGCAGCAGCUGAAGAGUCAAAAAAGGGAGCUCAAACGUCACCCCCUCCAUUUCCAGACAGAUUUGGAGUUUUCUUUCAUUUCUUUUAUAUUUCUUACCUUUCUUGUAUUG
rnacentral:misc_RNA from 1 species